rnacentral:rRNA from 1 species
UACAGAGGGUGCAAGCGUUGUUCGGAAUUAUUGGGCGUAAAGGGUGCGUAGGCGGUGCGGUAAGUCUGUAGUGAAAUCUCUGGGCUCAACUCAGAGUCUGCUAUAGAAACUGCCGUGCUUGAGUGUGGGAGAGGUGAGUGGAAUUCCCGGUGUAGCGGUGAAAUGCGCAGAUAUCAGGAGGAACACCAGCGGCGAAGGCGGCGCUCUGGGCCGGAACUGACGCUGAGGAGCGAAAGCGUGGGUAGCAAACAGG